rnacentral:rRNA from 1 species
AUACGGAAGGUCCGGGCGUUAUCCGGAUUUAUUGGGUUUAAAGGGAGCGCAGGCGGAGAUGCAAGCGUGACGUCAAAUUUCGGGGCUCAACCCCGUCUCGCGUCGCGAACUGCGUCCCUUGGUUGCGGGAAGGGGAGGCGGAACUCGUGGUGUAGCGGUGAAAUGCAUAGAUAUCACGAAGAACUCCGAUCGCGAAGGCAGCCUUCCGGCCCGUCAACGACGCUCAUGCUCGAAGGUGCGGGUAUCAAACAGGAUUAGAUACCCUGGUAGGCCGCACAGUAAACGAUGGACACCCGCGGUUUGGCCUGUAUGGCUGAGCCGCCAAGCGAAAGCGUUAAGUGUCCCACCUGGGGAGUACGCCGGCAACGGUGGAACUCAAAGGAAUUGACGGGG